UCUCCCCUCCCCCCCCCCCCCAAAAAAAAUUAAAUAAAUAAGGGGAACUCCUCUGCCCCACCGCCCCUUGUAAAUUCCCUCCGCCGUUUGCUGCUUCUCCGCCCGCUUGUGAGUGUGACCUUAGUAUGCUCCGUCUGUUUUCCCUGUAAAUCACACGAUGCGUCCACGUACCCCCCAUCCCUCGGUCUCCCUGAUUUGUUCCAAGAACCCAAGGUCCGCCGUUGUAUCUUUUAUCCCAAUUGUAGCCUAUCCGCUGGUUCGACCUUGCUCGCGUUGAUCCAAUGCCUCUUGUUGUUUUGAAAUGCCCCAUCGGACGGCCACCAUCUCUCGCCCUGCCUGCGCCAGCUGUCGCUGGCGCAGGGAAAAAAAUAGUUGAUUAAUACGCUCGGAUGCGUAGUCAUCCAUCCGCAGCAGGUGAGAAGGCACGCCACGCAGCUGUUCCCAUCCGUCAUCGUCACCCGGUCACCCACUCGCCCACGUCAGCAAGCAAUUGAUCGAAAUUACUCAUUUAUAGAAUAAUAGUAAUAAUAAUGAUAAUAAAGCCACGGGUAAUCUCUCAGGUUCUCGAUUUCCCAGGCUGCGCCUCCCGGCCUAGAAGCCCGUUUACGCGGAGGAAGGCACGGUAGGCCCAAUGGGCCAGUAUCGAAUAUGGUCAUGGGGCCCAUAAGCCCACCCCUGGUGGGCCGCCGGCAUUUAAGUCGGGAACAUGGAAGCAUGGGGGAGCAGUAAAUGUGGCGCCGGGCGCGCGCUGACAACGGGCCCCACCGGGAAUCGGACAGGAUGGACGCCCCGCCCUCUUUCCGGAUCCCCUUCCCAGACCCGCUGACCACUCCGCGGGCGUUCGAGCAGGCUCCGCCUUAAUCGGCAAACAAUAAUAAUAAUACUGAUGACAUAUCAUUAUUUAAAUUGGGAGUCGUCGGCGUUCCCUCCCAGCCGUCCAAAGCACAAUAGCGAGGGUCAGCCGUGAAUUCCUGGCACCGUGGUCAACGCUGUCGGAGCAAGCCUCGUGGAGUUUUAGAUAUGUGUGGGCCCCGCCAUUUCCUCUUCUAGAUGGAGCCGGGUAUGAAAAACCGGCGAAGGAGAAAAGUCCACGGAGUGAGAAGGCGCUGACUGGAUGGACGAGGGAUGGGGGGU
rnacentral:lncRNA from 1 species